UGGGGAAUAUUGCACAAUGGGGGCAACCCUGAUGCAGCGACGCCGCGUGAGCGAAGAAGGUUUUCGAAUCGUAAAGCUCUGUCCUAUGGGAAGAUAAUGACGGUACCAUAGGAGGAAGCCCCGGCUAACUACGUGCCAGCAGCCGCGGUAAUACGUAGGGGGCAAGCGUUGUCCGGAAUCACUGGGCGUAAAGGGUUCGCAGGCGGAAAUGCAAGUCAGUUGUGAAAGGCAGAGGCUCAACCUCUGUAAGCAAUUGAAACUGUAUUUCUUGAGAUGUGGAGAGGCAAGUGGAAUUCCUAGUGUAGCGGUGAAAUGCGUAGAUAUUAGGAAGAAUACCGGUGGCGAAGGCGACUUGCUGGACACAAACUGACGCUGAGGAACGAAAGCGUGGGUAGCAAACAGG
rnacentral:rRNA from 1 species